AGCGAACGCUGGCGGCAGGCUUAACACAUGCAAGUCGAGCGGGCACUUUCGGGUGUCAGCGGCGGACGGGUGAGUAACGCGUGGGAACGUGCCCUCUGGUUCGGAAUAACUCAGGGAAACUUGAGCUAAUACCGGAUACGCCCUUUUGGGGAAAGGCUUGCUGCCGGAGGAUCGGCCCGCGUCUGAUUAGCUAGUUGGUGAGGUAACGGCUCACCAAGGCGACGAUCAGUAGCUGGUCUGAGAGGAGGAUCAGCCACACUGGGACUGAGACACGGCCCAGCCUCCCCGGGGGAGGAGCGGGGGGGAAUGUUGAACAGUGGGCGAGAUCCUAAUCCACCCUUGCCGGGUGGGUAAAGAAGGCUUGGGGGUUGAAAAGCUCUUUUACCCGGGCCGAUAAUGGGGGUACGGGAGAAAAAAGCCCCGGCUACCUCCGUG
rnacentral:rRNA from 1 species